GCCUUGUUUUAAUAAAAAGUUUGAUGUCAAAUUUUAACAAAUUAUGGUAAUGUUGUAUGUCCAAACAUCAAUAUUCAAUUACAUUGAAAUGUAUGGGUUUUCAGGUAAUGUAGGCUAUAGUGCAAUGUCACUCAAUGUCACUCAAUGUCGCACAAUGUCGCUUACAUAUCAAAUGAUCCAGGUUCUUCCACCAUGGUUCCCACAUGUUCAGACAUAUCAAAUGAUCCAGGUUCUUCCACCAUGGUUCCACAUGUUAAGAAAUAUCAAAUUAUCCAGGUUCUUCCACCAUGGUUCCACAUGUUCAGACAUAUCAAAUUAUCCAGGUUCUUCCAUCAUGGUUCCCAAAUGUUCAGACAUAUCAAAUGAUCCAGGUUCUUCCACCAUGGUUCCACAUGUUCAGACAUAUCAAAUGAUCCAGGUUCUUCCACCAUGGUUCCACAUGUUCAGACAUAUCAAAUGAUCCAGGUUCUUCCACCAUGGUUCCACAUGUUCAAAUUAUUUUAAAGGCGGCCUUAACUCUGUAUAUUGUUGAAU
rnacentral:lncRNA from 1 species